UAGCAUAUCAAUAAGCGGAGGAAAAGAAACCAACAGGGAUUGCCUCAGUAACGGCGAGUGAAGCGGCAACAGCUCAAAUUUGAAAUCUGGCCCUAGGCCCGAGUUGUAAUUUGCAGAGGAUGCUUUUGGUGCGGUGCCUUCCAAGUUCCCUAGAACGGGACGCCAGAGAGGGUGAGAGCCCCGUACAGUUGGACACCAAGCCUUUGUAAAGCUCCUUCGACGAGUCGAGUAGUUUGGGAAUGCUGCUCAAAAUGGGAGGUAUAUUUCUUCUAAAGCUAAAUACCGGCCAGAGACCGAUAGCGCACAAGUAGAGUGAUCGAAAGAUGAAAAGCACUUUGAAAAGAGGGUUAAACAGCACGUGAAAUUGUUAAAAGGGAAGCGCUUGUGACCAGACUUGCGUCCGGUGAAUCACCCAGCUCUCGCGGCUGGGGCACUUCGCCGGCUCAGGCCAGCAUCAGCUCGCUGUCGGGGACAAAAGCUUCGGGAACGUAGCUCUCUUCGGGGAGUGUUAUAGCCUGUUGCACAAUACCCUUCGGCGGGCUGAGGUACGCGCUCCGCAAGGAUGCUGGCAUAAUGGUCAUCAGCGACCCGUCUUGAAACACGGACCAAGGAGUCAACCUUAUGUGCGAGUGUUCGGGUGUCAAACCCCUACGCGUAAUGAAAGUGAACGCAGGUGAGAGCUUCGGCGCAUCAUCGACCGAUCCUGAUGUUCUCGGAUGGAUUUGAGUAAGAGCAUAUAGGGUUGGACCCGAAAGAAGGUGAACUAUGCGUGUAUAGGGUGAAGCCAGAGGAAACUCUGGUGGAGGCUCGCAGCGGUUCUGACGUGCAAAUCGAUCGUCAAAUAUGCGCAUGGGGGCGAAAGACUAAUCGAACCUUCUAGUAGCUGGUUUCCCCCAAU
rnacentral:rRNA from 1 species